rnacentral:rRNA from 1 species
CCUACGGGUGGCAGCAGUGGGGAAUAUUGGGCAAUGGGCGCAAGCCUGACCCAGCAACGCCGCGUGAAGGAAGAAGGCUUUCGGGUUGUAAACUUCUUUUCUCAGGGACGAAGCAAGUGACGGUACCUUAGGAAUAAGCCACGGCUAACUACGUGCCAGCAGCCGCGGUAAUACGUAGGUGGCAAGCGUUAUCCGGAUUUACUGGGUGUAAAGGGCGUGUAGGCGGGACUGCAAGCCAGAUGUGAAAACCACGGGCUCAACCUGUGGCCUGCAUUUGAAACUGUAGUUCUUGAGUGCUGGAGAGGCAGACGGAAUUCCUAGUGUAGCGGUGAAAUGCGUAGAUAUUAGGAGGAACACCAGUGGCGAAGGCGAUCUGCUGGACAGCAACUGACGCUGAGGCGCGAAAGCGUGGGGAGCAAACAGGAUUAGAUACCCCUGUAGUC